UCUCUCUCUCUGUAGGAUGAUGGACUUCAGAGAGUUAGGAGAUGACCUUUUAACCCUUCCCAGGUUGUAUAUUGCUGAUGAGUUUCCUUUGGGGUUAACUCCUGCGCCUUACAGAGGUGAUCAGCAAAUGCAUUUAGCACCCAGCUGCUGCUUUCCCUCUAAAACUCCCAGGAAGUUGCAGGACGUUUGUUGAUGAAAUAACGCCACAGCCAGGUACAGUUAAUGUUCUGAGGUGGACAAUUAUUGGAGGUGAUUUUGUGUUUGGUUUUAAUACGUAGAACCUUUAAUCUCAGAGUGAGAGUGAAUGUCUCCAUGCAGAGUCAAACACAAGCUAAAAUACACCCGAUGUGUCUGAGUUCUUUCCAAAUAUUGACUCACUGUCACAGACUCCGUCUUCAGUAAAUCCACAGGUUGGUUCUUUUGCACAUUAAUGAAGUUCUGAUGUCUCAUUUUCCUAAAUUCUCAACAUCUCUUUUUUAACAGUUCAGCUUCAUGUCUCAUUUCUGUCUGCAGCUUAGCAUGAAGCUCAGUGUGAUUUCACAUUGUUGGUGUUGGUGGCUGUUCCUGAAUCUGUGGAGGACAGAAUGUGCAGCCCACCGUCUCGCUGCAGCAGGGCGCCCCCCAUUGACUGUCCCUGAGAAUGUUUCCGGGACAUCCCUGGAUUAAAGAAAGACAUGAGAUAUGGGCCAGUCAGUUCCAGCAGCAGUUCAGCUGUGGUUCUGUUCCAAGUCCAAUGGCUGCAUUCACCUUCAUAACACUGACUUCAUGAUGACGAGUCCCUGUUGUUUACCAAAGCUGUUUAUCCAGAGAAAAAUGUGCUGACGCAGGAAAUCCUGCAGUUUGAUUUCUAGACGAAGUGAAGGGAGAAUAAAAGGAGAACUGAUCUGAAAACGUCCCUCGUUGCUCAGCAUCAAAAGCAAUCUGACAUGAUGCAACUGAUGGAUUUAAGCAGGACUGAACAAUAAAUCCCAUCAUUAUUACAGCAUCUAUGUGUGCAGUGUCAGCGGUGCAGAGAGCUACUUGGAUGCAGCAUCUGGGGGGAAAUCCAAACCAACCUAAACCUUUCUGACAAGUUAUUUCAUGCUGGAGAGCAUUAGAAACAUGGUUCCUUCAGUUCCGCCAGGUUAUCCAGGUCCAGACAACACUUGGAGUAACGCAGGUAGAACCGGUUCACUCAUGUGUUUCUAACAACGGGCGUGGCAGCUCGUCAAAAAGAUCUCAACCUCAAGAAAGACAGAUCAAGCUCAUCAACACGUCCAUCAUCAAGCUCAUUUUUCCUGCUCGUGCUCACUUGCGUAACGCUGCUUAAAAUAACUGGGUUGGUGAGUUCCUGAAGGCCUGAUGCUUUAGAAAAAUAUGCAGUAAAGCUUCAUUCAUCAUGUUUCUAUUGCUCUUCUUCUGCUCAUCUAAAUAACUUUGAAAUCAUCAACAGUUAUUGAUUUUCAUCCAAAUCUAAGAAAGCAAAAACUUUAAUAUGGAAAUUAAUUACAAAACCUCAUAAAUAAAAUCUUAUUAAUCUGACAGAGCACCUCCACUCAUGUUGGAUGGUGGGUAAAGAUGAGUGAAAGGUCUUUAAAUAAUUAAACAUUAUUGUAGUAACAGAAUCUCACUAUGAAAAACAUAAAAUAAUCAAACUUUACUUUUAUAACAUUUAUUCAGAGAAAAUCCUACAGUGGGAAAUGACUGUUUUUUUUAACCAAAUCUGCUGUAAGUUUGUGUUAGUAGCUCUAACAAUUAAAUAAAUGGAUGUAAAACAUUUUAGUCUUUAUUUCAUCCUGGAACCGGCAGGUUUAACUGGAUGCUCUUCAAAAUGGGAAAGAGAAGAAAACAUGCUGUUCUGGUGAGGCAGAAGUAUUUUAUUCUUCAUAAAUAAAGAAAUGGAAACAAACAACUCCUCCACAUUGUAAGCAGUCAGUUAAGGUUAAUGCUGAAAGGACUCUAUCCCUUCUGGUCUGGGAAUGCCCUGGAUUCCCCUCCGAAUGAGCUGGAGAGGGACAUGGAUAGACAGACGGACGGAUGGAUGGAUGGACGGACGGACGGACGGACGGAUGGAUAGAGUGGCUGAUUCUUGAAAGGCUGAGCUGGAAUAAGAGGAGGUCUGUUUGCCGACACAUCAUGGAAACAGGUUUCAGGCCACAGGAGGUUCCAAGGUUUUUCAGGCUGUUAAGGUUCUGUGACCUCCUUCUGCCGGCAUUUCAACUGAUUUGACUCACUGGUUUCAUCCAAACAUUGAAGCCUGAGACUGGACUCCAUUUGGACUGAGAUGAUCAUAAUGACGACUGACUCACCUCAAACAUGUGACCAUUAACAAGCAGGAAGGAAGUCACGGGUGUUCCCACUAGUUUAAAUCCCCAUUUCACCACUAGUGUUUUUAGAUACUGGGUGGAAAUUAGUUGUGAUUGACUGCACUUGUUCCAGGAAAUAGAUUAAACCGUACCGGCUGCCUGACACCCAGUCAGGUUAUACUAAAAGUACAUCCUCUUCAUUUUCAGGUCUUUAUUCCAAGAUGUGUGUUAACACAUGUUAAUCCAUCAGCAAUUACAUCACAGAAGCGACUGUUCCUGGCCAUUAACCUGGAAAGGUUUAUCAGUUCAUCUCUAAACUAUCUGAAGUCCGUCGUUCCACAGAGACAAAGAUUAUUCCCAAGAGGAAAACAUCUGGCACCUGCCAGUCUUCCCAGGAGUGGACGACCCAGCAGGUUCAGCCCAAGGUCAGGGUGUGAAGCUCAGAGAAAUGACCAAAAACCCAACAGCUCCAUCUCAGACUCUACAGGCCUCAUUUAGCAGGUUAAAGGUCAUGACAGGGUGAUUAGAAAAACACUGAACCAAUAUGGCUGCUUGGAGGGAAAACACCUCUUCACUCUAAACACAAAGUGGCAGAAGACCAACGUAGAGAUGUUUGUUCAUGCUGCACAGCACCAUGUUUGGUUAACCCAACAUCACAUACCAACUUUAAAGCAUGGUGGUGGAGGACUGAUGAUUUGGGCUGAAUUGAGUUGACUGGGCCGGCCCAGUACUCCCUGUUUGUAUGGCUUCAUGAUGUCAUUAAUUGCAUCACUGGGUCCAACCAAACGGAGGAAUCUGCUCUGGAUGAACUGUUGUAUUUUAUGAACCAUUUAGUUGAUGACUUUGUUAAUCAGAUUAAUAAUAAUCUCCAUCCUGUUCCUUUGCUUAGAUUGUAUUGUUUGGUUUAACCUAUUUCCUAAUGGUGCAGACUGAUGAGGUUCAGGUGGAUUUCAGGAUGAUUUUCAUCACCUGAGCUUAAGAUAGUGAUGGAAGAAUGCCUCCAUUUACUUGUUAAAAUGUCAGAAAUGAAGAUGUCUGUGAAUAAAAUCCAGCAAGAAGAA